rnacentral:rRNA from 1 species
UACGUAGGGUGCGAGCGUUAAUCGGAAUUACUGGGCGUAAAGCGUGCGCAGGCGGCUUGCCAAGUCAGAUGUGAAAGCCCCGGGCUCAACCCGGGAACGGCGUUUGAAACUGGCAGGCUAGAGUGUGGCAGAGGGGGGUGGAAUUCCACGUGUAGCAGUGAAAUGCGUAGAGAUGUGGAGGAACACCGAUGGCGAAGGCAGCCCCCUGGGCCAAAACUGACGCUCAGGCACGAAAGCGUGGGGAGCAAACAGG